rnacentral:rRNA from 1 species
GUUUAGGGGUAAACCUGAGAAACCCGAAAGGUCGAAGGGAGAAAUUCAUCGCGUCUCGAAGCAGGCGUCGGACCAAGGAGUCUAGCAUGUGCGCGAGUCAUUGGGAAUCACUAAACCUAAAGGCGUAAUGAAAGUAAAGGUCCUCCUAGCGGGGACUGAGGGAAGACGGGUGGUUUACCCUUAAAAGUGGCCGCUCCGCACUCCCGGGGCGUCUCUUUCUCAUCGCGUGAAGAGGCGCACCAAGAGCGUACACGCUAGGACCCGAAAGAUGGUGAACUAUGCCUGGUCAGGACGAAGUCAGGGGAAACCCCGAUGGAGGUCCGUAGCGAUUCUGACGUGCAAAUCGAUCGUCGGAACUGGGUAUAGGGGCGAAAGACUAAUCGAACCAUC